rnacentral:misc_RNA from 1 species
AAGUCGUAACAAGGUCUCCGUUGGUGAACCAGCGGAGGGAUCAUUACUGAGUUACCGCUCUACAACCCUUUGUGAACAUACCUAACCGUUGCUUCGGCGGGCAGGGGAAGCCUCUCGCGGGCGACCCCUCCCGGCGCCGGCCCCAUCACGGGGGCGGAGCGCCCGCCGGAGGAAAUCAAACUCUAUUUACACGACGUCUCUUCUGAGUGGCACAAGCAAAUAAUUAAAACUUUUAACAACGGAUCUCUUGGUUCUG